rnacentral:rRNA from 1 species
UUAGGUUAAGUUAUAAAGGGCGCACGGUGGAUGCCUUGGCACUAGGAGCCGAUGAAGGACGGUACUAACACCGAUAUGCUUCGGGGAGCUGUAAGUAAGCUUUGAUCCGGAGAUUUCCGAAUGGGGGAACCCAAUACCUUUAGUCGGGUAUUAUCAUUAAGUGAAUACAUAGCUUAAUGAAGGUAGACGCGGGGAACUGAAACAUCUAAGUACCUGCAGGAAGAGAAAGAAAAAUCGAUUCCCUAAGUAGCGGCGAGCGAACGGGGAAGAGCCCAAACCAAGAAGCUUGCUUCUUGGGGUUGUAGGACAGAACAUUGGAGUUACCAAGUUAAGUUGUAAUCGAAUCAGCUGGGAAGCUGAGUCAAAGAGUGUGAUAACCACGUAGAUUAAACAACUUAACCUCCGUUCUGGAUCCUGAGUACGGCGGAACACGUGAAAUUCCGUCGGAAUCCGGGAGGACCAUCUCCCAAGGCUAAAUACUCCCUAGUGACCGAUAGUGAACCAGUACCGUGAGGGAAAGGUGAAAAGCACCCCGGAAGGGGAGUGAAAUAGAUCCUGAAACCGUGUGCCUACAAUUAGUCAAAGCUCGUUAAUGAGUGAUGGCGUGCCUUUUGUAGAAUGAACCGGCGAGUUACGUUUAUAUGCGAGGUUAAAGUGAGAAGCUGGAGCCGUAGCGAAAGCGAGUCUGAAAUGGGCGAGUGAGUAUAUAGAUGUAGACCCGAAACCAAGUGACCUACCCAUGUCCAGGUUGAAGGUGUGGUAAAACACACUGGAGGACCGAACCCACGUCAGUUGAAAAUGGCGGGGAUGAGGUGUGGGUAGCGGUGAAAUUCCAAUCGAACUUGGAGAUAGCUGGUUCUCUCCGAAAUAGCUUUAGGGCUAGCCUCGGAAUAUUGGAUCAUGGAGGUAGAGCACUGUUUGGACUAGGGGCCCGUCAUGGGUUACUGAAUUCAGAUAAACUCCGAAUACCAUUGAUUUAGUUCCGGGAGUCAGACUGCGAGUGAUAAGAUCCGUAGUCGAAAGGGAAACAGCCCAGAUCACCAGUUAAGGUCCCAAAAUUUAUGUUAAGUGGAAAAGGAUGUGGCGGUGCACAGACAACUAGGAUGUUGGCUCAGAAGCAGCCACCAUUUAAAGAGUGCGUAAUAGCUCACUAGUCGAGUGCCGCUGCGCCGAAAAUGUACCGGGGCUAAACAUAAUACCGAAACUGUGGGUGGACACGUAAGUGUCCGCGGUAGGAGAGCGUUCUAAGGGCGAUGAAGCUAGAUCGUAAGGACUAGUGGAGCGCUUAGAAGUGAGAAUGCCGGCAUGAGUAGCGAAAGAUCAGUGAGAAUCUGAUCCACCGUAUGACUAAGGUUUCCUGGGGAAGGCUCGUCCUCCCAGGGUUAGUCGGGACCUAAGGCGAGGCCGAAAGGCGUAGUCGAUGGCCAACAGGUUGAGAUUCCUGUACUAGUUUAUUUUGUUUGAACGAUGGAGGGACGCAGGAAGCUAAGGAAUGCACACGACUGGAAAUGUGUGUCUAAGCAACAAGUCUUGAGUUGAGUGAAAUGCUUGAUUCUUUAAGGACAAGUUGUAAUGGGGAGCGAAAUUAAGUAGCGAAGUUCCUGAUGUUACACUGCCAAGAAAAGCUUCUAGUGAGAAAUAAACUACCCGUACCGUAAACCGACACAGGUGGUCGAGGAGAAUAUCCUAAGGUGAGCGAGUGAACUCUCGUUAAGGAACUCGGCAAAAUGACCCCGUAACUUCGGGAGAAGGGGUGCUGACCGUCAGGUCAGCCGCAGUGAAUAGGCCCAAACAACUGUUUAUCAAAAACACAGGUCUCUGCAAAAUCGAAAGAUGACGUAUAGGGGCUGACGCCUGCCCGGUGCUGGAAGGUUAAGAGGAUGAGUUAGCGUAAGCGAAGCCCAGAAUUGAAGCCCCAGUAAACGGCGGCCGUAACUAUAACGGUCCUAAGGUAGCGAAAUUCCUUGUCGGGUAAGUUCCGACCCGCACGAAAGGCGUAAUGAUUUGGGCACUGUCUCAACGAGAGACUCGGUGAAAUUAUAAUACCCGUGAAGAUGCGGGUUACCCGCGACAGGACGGAAAGACCCCAUGGAGCUUUACUGUAGCUUGAUAUUGAGUGUUUGUACAGUUUGUACAGGAUAGGUAGGAGCCGUAGAAAUCGGAACGCUAGUUUCGAUGGAGGCGUUGGUGGGAUACUACCCUAACUGUAUGACCACUCUAACCCGCGCCACUUAGCGUGGCGGGAGACAGUGUCAGGUGGGCAGUUUGACUGGGGCGGUCGCCUCCUAAAGUGUAACGGAGGCGCUCAAAGGUUCUCUCAGAAUGGUUGGAAAUCAUUCGUAGAGUGUAAAGGUAUAAGAGAGCUUGACUGUGAGAUUGACAAAUCGAGCAGGGACGAAAGUCGGACUUAGUGAUCCGGUGGUUCCGUAUGGAAGGGCCAUCGCUCAACGGAUAAAAGCUACCCUGGGGAUAACAGGCUUAUCUCCCCCAAGAGUCCACAUCGACGGGGAGGUUUGGCACCUCGAUGUCGGCUCAUCGCAUCCUGGGGCUGUAGUCGGUCCCAAGGGUUGGGCUGUUCGCCCAUUAAAGCGGUACGCGAGCUGGGUUCAGAACGUCGUGAGACAGUUCGGUCCCUAUCCGUCGCGGGCGCAGGAAAUUUGAGAGGAGCUGUCCUUAGUACGAGAGGACCGGGAUGGACAUACCUCUGGUGUACCAGUUGUGCCGCCAGGCGCAUCGCUGGGUAGCUAUGUAUGGACGGGAUAAACGCUGAAAGCAUCUAAGUGUGAAGCCCCCCUCGAGAUGAGAUUUCCCAUUCCUUUAUGGAAGUAAGACCCCUAAGGACGGUACUAACACCGAUAUGCUUCGGGGAGCUGUAAGUAAGCUUUGAUCCGGAGAUUUCCGAAUGGGGGAACCCAAUACCUUUAGUCGGGUAUUAUCAUUAAGUGAAUACAUAGCUUAAUGAAGGUAGACGCGGGGAACUGAAACAUCUAAGUACCUGCAGGAAGAGAAAGAAAAAUCGAUUCCCUAAGUAGCGGCGAGCGAACGGGGAAGAGCCCAAACCAAGAAGCUUGCUUCUUGGGGUUGUAGGACAGAACAUUGGAGUUACCAAGUUAAGUUGUAAUCGAAUCAGCUGGGAAGCUGAGUCAAAGAGUGUGAUAACCACGUAGAUUAAACAACUUAACCUCCGUUCUGGAUCCUGAGUACGGCGGAACACGUGAAAUUCCGUCGGAAUCCGGGAGGACCAUCUCCCAAGGCUAAAUACUCCCUAGUGACCGAUAGUGAACCAGUACCGUGAGGGAAAGGUGAAAAGCACCCCGGAAGGGGAGUGAAAUAGAUCCUGAAACCGUGUGCCUACAAUUAGUCAAAGCUCGUUAAUGAGUGAUGGCGUGCCUUUUGUAGAAUGAACCGGCGAGUUACGUUUAUAUGCGAGGUUAAAGUGAGAAGCUGGAGCCGUAGCGAAAGCGAGUCUGAAAUGGGCGAGUGAGUAUAUAGAUGUAGACCCGAAACCAAGUGACCUACCCAUGUCCAGGUUGAAGGUGUGGUAAAACACACUGGAGGACCGAACCCACGUCAGUUGAAAAUGGCGGGGAUGAGGUGUGGGUAGCGGUGAAAUUCCAAUCGAACUUGGAGAUAGCUGGUUCUCUCCGAAAUAGCUUUAGGGCUAGCCUCGGAAUAUUGGAUCAUGGAGGUAGAGCACUGUUUGGACUAGGGGCCCGUCAUGGGUUACUGAAUUCAGAUAAACUCCGAAUACCAUUGAUUUAGUUCCGGGAGUCAGACUGCGAGUGAUAAGAUCCGUAGUCGAAAGGGAAACAGCCCAGAUCACCAGUUAAGGUCCCAAAAUUUAUGUUAAGUGGAAAAGGAUGUGGCGGUGCACAGACAACUAGGAUGUUGGCUCAGAAGCAGCCACCAUUUAAAGAGUGCGUAAUAGCUCACUAGUCGAGUGCCGCUGCGCCGAAAAUGUACCGGGGCUAAACAUAAUACCGAAACUGUGGGUGGACACGUAAGUGUCCGCGGUAGGAGAGCGUUCUAAGGGCGAUGAAGCUAGAUCGUAAGGACUAGUGGAGCGCUUAGAAGUGAGAAUGCCGGCAUGAGUAGCGAAAGAUCAGUGAGAAUCUGAUCCACCGUAUGACUAAGGUUUCCUGGGGAAGGCUCGUCCUCCCAGGGUUAGUCGGGACCUAAGGCGAGGCCGAAAGGCGUAGUCGAUGGCCAACAGGUUGAGAUUCCUGUACUAGUUUAUUUUGUUUGAACGAUGGAGGGACGCAGGAAGCUAAGGAAUGCACACGACUGGAAAUGUGUGUCUAAGCAACAAGUCUUGAGUUGAGUGAAAUGCUUGAUUCUUUAAGGACAAGUUGUAAUGGGGAGCGAAAUUAAGUAGCGAAGUUCCUGAUGUUACACUGCCAAGAAAAGCUUCUAGUGAGAAAUAAACUACCCGUACCGUAAACCGACACAGGUGGUCGAGGAGAAUAUCCUAAGGUGAGCGAGUGAACUCUCGUUAAGGAACUCGGCAAAAUGACCCCGUAACUUCGGGAGAAGGGGUGCUGACCGUCAGGUCAGCCGCAGUGAAUAGGCCCAAACAACUGUUUAUCAAAAACACAGGUCUCUGCAAAAUCGAAAGAUGACGUAUAGGGGCUGACGCCUGCCCGGUGCUGGAAGGUUAAGAGGAUGAGUUAGCGUAAGCGAAGCCCAGAAUUGAAGCCCCAGUAAACGGCGGCCGUAACUAUAACGGUCCUAAGGUAGCGAAAUUCCUUGUCGGGUAAGUUCCGACCCGCACGAAAGGCGUAAUGAUUUGGGCACUGUCUCAACGAGAGACUCGGUGAAAUUAUAAUACCCGUGAAGAUGCGGGUUACCCGCGACAGGACGGAAAGACCCCAUGGAGCUUUACUGUAGCUUGAUAUUGAGUGUUUGUACAGUUUGUACAGGAUAGGUAGGAGCCGUAGAAAUCGGAACGCUAGUUUCGAUGGAGGCGUUGGUGGGAUACUACCCUAACUGUAUGACCACUCUAACCCGCGCCACUUAGCGUGGCGGGAGACAGUGUCAGGUGGGCAGUUUGACUGGGGCGGUCGCCUCCUAAAGUGUAACGGAGGCGCUCAAAGGUUCUCUCAGAAUGGUUGGAAAUCAUUCGUAGAGUGUAAAGGUAUAAGAGAGCUUGACUGUGAGAUUGACAAAUCGAGCAGGGACGAAAGUCGGACUUAGUGAUCCGGUGGUUCCGUAUGGAAGGGCCAUCGCUCAACGGAUAAAAGCUACCCUGGGGAUAACAGGCUUAUCUCCCCCAAGAGUCCACAUCGACGGGGAGGUUUGGCACCUCGAUGUCGGCUCAUCGCAUCCUGGGGCUGUAGUCGGUCCCAAGGGUUGGGCUGUUCGCCCAUUAAAGCGGUACGCGAGCUGGGUUCAGAACGUCGUGAGACAGUUCGGUCCCUAUCCGUCGCGGGCGCAGGAAAUUUGAGAGGAGCUGUCCUUAGUACGAGAGGACCGGGAUGGACAUACCUCUGGUGUACCAGUUGUGCCGCCAGGCGCAUCGCUGGGUAGCUAUGUAUGGACGGGAUAAACGCUGAAAGCAUCUAAGUGUGAAGCCCCCCUCGAGAUGAGAUUUCCCAUUCCUUUAUGGAAGUAAGACCCCUGAAAGAUGAUCAGGUAGAUAGGCUAGGAGUGGAAGUACAGCGAUGUAUGGAGCGGACUAGUACUAAUCGGUCGAGGACUUAACCAAA